rnacentral:rRNA from 1 species
CGGCGUGCUUAACACAUGCAAGUCGAACGGAAAGGCCCUUCGGGGUACUCGAGUGGCGAACGGGUGAGUAACACGUGGGUGAUCUGCCCUGCACUUUGGGAUAAGCCUGGGAAACUGGGUCUAAUACCGAAUAGGACCACGCGCUUCAUGGUGUGUGGUGGAAAGCUUUUGCGGUGUGGGAUGGGCCCGCGGCCUAUCAGCUUGUUGGUGGGGUAAUGGCCUACCAAGGCGACGACGGGUAGCCGGCCUGAGAGGGUGACCGGCCACACUGGGACUGAGAUACGGCCCAGACUCCUACGGGAGGCAGCAGAAGGG